UAGGGAAUCUUCCGCAAUGGACGAAAGUCUGACGGAGCAACGCCGCGUGAGUGAAGAAGGAUUUCGGUUCGUAAAACUCUGUUGUAAGGGAAGAAAAAAUGUAUAGUAACUAUAUACAAAAGAGACGGUACCUAACCAGAAAGCCACGGCUAACUACGUGCCAGCAGCCGCGGUAAUACGUAGGUGGCAAGCGUUGUCCGGAAUUAUUGGGCGUAAAGCGCGCGCAGGUGGUUUAGAAAGUCUGAUGUGAAAGCCCACGGCUCAACCGUGGAGGGUCAUUGGAAACUAAUAAACUUGAGUGCAGGAGAGAAAAGUGGAAUUCCUAGUGUAGCGGUGAAAUGCGUAGAGAUUAGGAGGAACACCGGUGGCGAAAGCGGCUUUUUGGCCUGCAACUGACACUGAGGCGCGAAAGCGUGGGGAGCAAACAGG
rnacentral:rRNA from 1 species